UACAGGCAAAAGGAAUAAUGAAGCUUUCAACCAUGAUACAACUGAGAAGAUUUCAGCAUCCACAUAGAAAGAAAAGCAGGGCAAUGCACCCUCCAAGCUUAGGAAGGAGGCAGCCAGAGAACUCCUGGCUCCUUUGUGGGGCUUCACUGAGAAGAUGAACCUGCCGAUGAGGUGUGCAGAGAACUUUGGCUGCACAAGUUAAGAGGAAGAGGCUGAGUCUCAGCUCAGAGAGUGCUGGUAAUGCCAAGCACAGCAGAGCUGCCAGAGGGAUCUACUUGGAAUCUGGGGAGGCCCUGGGGAGACUAACUGGUACAAUUUAAAGAGAUGCAAAGCAAAUGAUAUGCGGGGCAAUCAUGUGAAAAGCCUGCUGCCUUACAGGAUGGACUCCAGCUGCUCAGUGGGACGGGCUGUUGGGGGCUGGGUUUUGGUAGGGCAAGAGGGCCCCGGAUGGAGUGAUGGACACUCUAACUCACUACUCCGCCGUCCAAUACAGUCC
rnacentral:lncRNA from 10 species